AGGAUGAACGCUGGCGGUCUGCUUAACACAUGCAAGUCGAACGGACGUUUUCGGACGUUAGUGGCGGACGGGUGAGUAACGCGUGAGAAUCUGCCUUCAGGUUGGGGACAACAGUUGGAAACGACUGCUAACACCCAAUGUGCCGAGAGGUGAAAGCUUUAGUGCCUGAGGAUGAGCUCGCGUCUGAUUAGCUAGUUGGAGUGGUAAUGGCACACCAAGGCGACGAUCAGUAGCUGGUCUGAGAGGAUGAUCAGCCACACUGGGACUGAGACACGGCCCAGACUCCUACGGGAGGCAGCAGUGGGAAUUUUCCGCAAUGGGCGCAAGCCUGACGGAGCAAGACCGCGUGAGGGAGGAAGGCCCUUGGGUUGUAAACCUCUUUUAUCAGGGAAGAAGAUCUGACGGUACCUGAUGAAUCAGCAUCGGCUAACUCCGUGCCAGCAGCCGCGGUAAUACGGAGGAUGCAAGCGUUAUCCGGAUUUAUUGGGCGUAAAGCGUCCGCAGGUGGUUUUUCAAGUCUGCUGUUAAAGCGCGAGGCUUAACCUCGUAACGGCGGUGGAAACUGAGAGACUAGAGUAUGGUAGGGGUAGCGGGAAUUCCCAGUGUAGCGGUGAAAUGCGUAGAUAUUGGGAAGAACACCAGCGGCGAAAGCGCGCUACUGGGCCAUAACUGACACUCAUGGACGAAAGCUAGGGGAGCGAAAGGGAUUAGAUACCCCUGUAGUCCUAGCUGUAAACGAUGGAUACUAGGUGUUGCCCGUAUCGACCCGGGCAGUGCCGUAGCUAACGCGUUAAGUAUCC
rnacentral:rRNA from 1 species